GCAUUGGUGGUUCAGUGGUAGAAUUCUCUCCUGCCAUGUGAGAGGCCCGGGUUCAAUUUCCGGCCAACGCA